GGCAAGUACAGAAGUCCGUGAAGCCAGCUUCCAAGAAAAGCUUCUAGUGAUAAUCAUACAGUAACCCGUACCGAAAAUGGACACACAUGGGUGAGGAGAGAAUCCUAAGGUGAGCGAGAGAACUAUAGCUAAGGAACUCUGCAAAAUGACUCCGUAACUUAGGGAUAAGGAGUGCUCAUAGAGAUAUGAGCCGCAGUGAAACGGCCCAAGCGACUGUUUACCAAAAACACAGCUCUAUGCUAAGUCGAAAGACGACGUAUAUGGGGUGACGCCUGCCCGGUGCUGGAAGGUUAAGAGGAUGUGUCAGCGCAAGCGAAGCACUGAAUUGAAGCCCCAGUAAACGGCGGCCGUAACUAUAACGGUCCUAAGGUAGCGAAAUUCCUUGUCAGGUAAGUUCUGACCCGCACGAAAGGCGUAACGAUUUGGGCGCUGUCUCAGCUGUAGACUCGGUGAAGUCUUAGUACCUGUGAAGAUGCAGGUUACCCGCGACUAGACGGAAAGACCCCAUGGAGCUUUACUGUAGCUUGAUAUUGGACUUUGAUGCAGGAUGUACAGGAUAGGUAGGAGACUGAGAGACAUGCACGCCAGUGUGUGAGGAGUCGCUGUUGGGAUACUACUCUUCCUGUAUUGGAGUUCUAACCGGAUGCCAUAAGCUGGCAACGGGACAGUGUCAGGUGGGCAGUUUGACUGGGGCGGUCGCCUCCCAAAGAGUAACGGAGGCGCCCAAAGAUACCCUCAGCUUGGAUGGAAAUCAAGCGCAGAGUGCAAAGGCAUAAGGGUGUUUGACUGCGAGACCUACAAGUCGAGCAGGGACGAAAGUCGGGCUUAGUGAUCCGGCGGUGCUGAAUGGAAAGGCCGUCGCUCAACGGAUAAAAGCUACCCUGGGGAUAACAGGCUUAUCACUCCCAAGAGUUCACAUCGACGGAGUGGUUUGGCACCUCGAUGUCGGCUCAUCGCAUCCUGGAGCUGAAGUCGGUUCCAAGGGUUGGGCUGUUCGCCCAUUAAAGCGGUACGCGAGCUGGGUUCAGAACGUCGUGAGACAGUUCGGUCCCUAUCUGUCGUGGGCGUAGGAAGUUUGAGAAGAUCUGUCCUCAGUACGAGAGGACCGGGAGGGACA
rnacentral:rRNA from 1 species